rnacentral:rRNA from 1 species
UACGAAGGGGGCUAGCGUUGUUCGGAAUUACUGGGCGUAAAGCGCGCGCAGGCGGCUAUCCAAGUCAGUGGUGAAAGCCCGGAGCUCAACUCCGGAACUGCCAUUGAAACUGUUUAGCUUGAGGACGAGAGAGGUGAGUGGAAUUCCCAGUGUAGAGGUGAAAUUCGUAGAUAUCGGGAGGAACACCAGUGGCGAAGGCGGCGAUCUGGGAAGAUACUGACGCUGAGGUGCGAAAGCGUGGGGAGCAAACAGG